rfam:Triticum aestivum genome assembly, contig: Triticum_aestivum_CS42_TGACv1_scaffold_406210_5BL
GUAGUACUCCCUCUGCCCCAAAAUUCUUGUCUUACAUUUUUUUGGAUAUGGAUGUAUCUAACACUAAAAUGUAACUAGAUACAUCCAUAUUUAGACAAAUUUAAGACAAGAAUUUUGGGACGGAGGGAGUACAAA